rnacentral:misc_RNA from 1 species
AACUGAUACUACCUGCGGGAACCUGCGGAGGGAUCAUUAUUGAUUUUUAGGGGAUGUGCUGGUCCCUAACCCUCAGGGACAUGUGCACUCUCCAAAAAACCAAAUAUCCACCUGUGCACUUAUCAGUAGGCAAAAGACUUUUGCAAGUCUUUUGUCUAUGUUUUAUUACAAGCACUUGAGCUAUUUCAAUGCUUCAUACAAUAACAUAAUUGUAAUACAACUUUCAGCAAUGGAUCUCUA